UACGUAGGGGGCUAGCGUUGUCCGGAAUCAUUGGGCGUAAAGCGCGUGUAGGCGGUCCGGUAAGUCCGCUGUGAAAGUCCAGGGCUCAACCCUGGAAUGCCGGUGGAAACUGUCGAGCUAGAGUCCGGAAGAGGCGAGUGGAAUCCUGGUGUAGCGGUGAAAUGCGCAGAUAUCAGGAGGAACACCAAUUGCGAAGGCAGCUCGCUGGGACGUGACUGACGCUGAGA
rnacentral:rRNA from 1 species